UUUUAGACAUGAGUUAUUUCAUUUGACACUGUGGCGAUGUUCCUAAGCAGACUUAUUUCCCCAGACUAGACGCACAUGUGUUUGGUUAAAUACGGUUUCUUCAUCGAUAAGUUUCACCUUAUCAUUAGUAUAUCCGCUUGCUACGCUUGUAUUAACUACGUUAAAACUAAACUCUACGUUACCCCAACAAUGGGAGGGGAAAAUGGGAGAUAAAGUGAAUGCAGAGUCGAACACACCAUCGGAAAUGUUUCUUACAAAAGAAAAGAAAUGGGCUACAUCAAAUUAUAAAUCUGUCCCCAAUGCUCUUCUGCUGUGAACCUCAUCUUUAUUACAUGUAACAAGUGGCUGUUCAGGCAGUGUAUUGCAAAGGAGAGUUGAAGGGGAGUUCUUGCAAAUUCCUACUGUACCAUGUUCUUCGCUGAGCUUGACUGGUACUCAACAUGAUAGGUGGAGAUCUUCGGUAAAAAAGGCAGGCAAUCAGGGAAAAAAAAAGAGAAUCACAUCGAUCAUGGUUGCCAUCUCCAAGGAUGACACUAUACAUACCAGAAGGGCCUGUGUGAUCAAGUCUCUGUGCACCCACUUGAAUGAAGACCCUGAAAAACUAGUGAAGGCAUAUUUGAUUCAGACAGAGUCACAAAGUACCAUGGAGCAAACUGAAGGGAGUGUAUGUUAUACUGAAGGAGGGAGCACUGCCUGAUGAUGACCCACAGGACACUGGUCUCCUAAUUGAAGGUGUGGAAGUCCUCAGUGACUUGAGUCGCAUUGUGCAGGCUUGUUCUCUGUUAUUUGGACUGAUAUGUUGUUUGAACCUGAGCUACUCCCCAGAGCUCAAAUGCACAUGCAGGAGAUCCUUCUAAAUCUAAAUGGACAGAGGUUGCAAUCCAAGGCACAGAUCAACAACAAACUUUGAGAUAAUGACCUUGAAAAAGAAAGAAAAGUUAAACUAAAUGCACUUGGAGUUCCUUAUGUAUAUGGACAACUUUUUUUUGCCACCGUUCCUCCAAACAAGCUACUGGAGCAAUUGAGCUUGAACAGGACUGGUGUACUUCAGGAAGAUGUACAUUUGUAGUUAGAUAGAAACUCUUUUUAGACCACUUAUUUAUUGCAUAGUUACUUUAAACGUGGUGCUGGAGAAAGUGAGUAGAAGCAGUUGUUACACAUUUACAAAUAUUUUCUGGGAGUGAUUUUCUUAGUUUCCGAUGUAAUGCAACAUGGUAAUUUAGAAUUAUCAAAAUAAAAAAAUA